ACAAAAAAGAAUAAUAACAUGAGGUACAAAUGCUUUCUUCAAACGAAGGAUGGUACCAGUUACAAACUCAGCAAAGUAUCUCAUGCACCACUUUUUCCCACAAGAGGCAGUUCGAGACAAGUCGCAUCAGAAAAUGUCUCCACACAGCUAGAAACAGGAACGCAAACUAAACACAAUCCGACAUGAUUGAUACAAUUAUAAAGCAUGAAGAGCGAAAAGGCUGAAACUGGAACGAGACGUAGCAGCUGUUCUCACACCCAGGCCUCAGCGUCUGGCAGGGCACCGCUCACUGCCUGCCUCGCGGCUUCGCCCUGCUCGCCUCCUCCGGGGUUGACGGGAACAGCUCCACGUACCUCGUCCCGAUGGUCAUCUUAUCCUUGCACAUGGCAGUCUUGGCAACCUCGGCCGUCGGGAACUCCACAAAGGCCUCGCCAGUGGCCUUGCCGUCCCCACGGUAAGCGAUGUGCACGUUCUCCUCCGACAGCUCGUACUCAACAAAAAACUUGAUGAUGUCCUCGAUGGUGGCGGAGUAGGGAAGCCCGCGCAGCUUCAGCACCUCAGUGUACUCCAUGCUGCUCUUGUCUUCAGACAGCCUCCUGGACCGCAGAGGAGGCGACGAGUGCCGGUGCUCCGGCUCAAGGAGAGGACCGCCCUGGUUCACCUCAGCGGCUAUUGCACUGUAGUAAUCCUGCUUCUUGCAUCUGAAAACCUCCACGUACCUCCUGCCCAUGUUCUGCCUGUUGCGGUGCAGCGCAAACUCCGCUUGCAUGGAUGAAGGGAAGACAACAAAG
rnacentral:lncRNA from 1 species